AUUGAACGCUGGUGGCAUGCCUUACACAUGCAAGUCGAACGGCAGCACGGGAGCAAUCCUGGUGGCGAGUGGCGAACGGGUGAGUAAAGUAUCGGAACGUGCCCAGUCGUGGGGGAUGACGUAGCGAAAGUUACGCUAAUACCGCAUACGAUCUAUGGAUGAAAGCGGGGGAUCGCAAGACCUCGCGCGAUUGGAGCGGCCGAUAUCAGAUUAGGUAGUUGGUGGGGUAAAGGCCCACCAAGCCGACGAUCUGUAGCUGGUCUGAGAGGACGACCAGCCACACUGGGACUGAGACACGGCCCAGACUCCUACGGGAGGCAGCAGUGGGGAAUUUUGGACAAUGGGCGAAAGCCUGAUCCAGCCAUGCCGCGUGCAGGAUGAAGGCCUUCGGGUUGUAAACUGCUUUUGUACGGAACGAAAAGGUUUGGCCUAAUAAGCUGAGCUCAUGACGGUACCGUAAGAAUAAGCACCGGCUAACUACGUGCCAGCAGCCGCGGUAACAC
rnacentral:rRNA from 1 species